CUCAAGUAAAAACAAAGGGAACAAGACACAUUUUUGUACCCUGCAGGUAGACAGACAGAUGUCUCUAUUUCUGAUUUAUCUGUCUUCUCUCUCUCUCCCACUCUCAUAUUGUUCCAGUCUGACUCAAACUCAUCUACACGCAUACACAGUCUGAGCGUGACUCAGAGUGAAUGUGCUGUUUCAGAAAACAACUCAUGCUUUUGAUGAGGUUGCUGAACUUUUGGCCUGUGACUGCACAUCUUUGGUAGAGCCAUGAAAAGCAGCUUGACUCUCGAGAAUCAACCGGAAAAGCAAUUUAAUGCAAAAAAAAAAAAAAAAUGGCUCUGAAAUAUGUUUUUUCCCCUUCUUUCUGGCACAUAACUUGAACGCGACCGCUGGGAGACAGCAUUUUUCUUUUGAUGUACGGAAAGCCGAGGUUAAUCCAAAUCUGCCUGCCUGCGAUUUUCACAAUGUAUUACUUGAGCUUUAAAUGUAAGUAAUGGCUUUUCUAUUCUGGGAGAGACCGCUGAUGAUUUUGCAGUUGGAGUUGGAAGAGAAGGAAGGAGUUGAGAGGAGGAACCAGAGUGUAACGAAGGAAGCAAAGAGGAAGUUUUUACCCUCCUGGCCUGCACUGCUGGAGCAGACGACCUAUCUGCCCCGGCUCACGGCUGAAUGCUAGGAUGAUUGCUGCGGGAAUAGGGGAUAAUAGAGGAAAACUUGCGGGUUUCUCUCUCUUUCUCACUUUGAGGGAGCUCGCUCUCUAGAACAAAGGACCUAUAGGAGCUCCGCAUCCGUGAUCAGGAUGUUUCAUAUUUCACAGCAGGUGGCAGGGUUGGCGCCUAUGAAUGAGCGGGUUUGGUAUAUAUCAUUCAUAUAUGUGGAAACACCAGCUGCAGUUUCUGUGCAGCAAUACUCCCUCUUCAGUUCUCAAUUUCCUUCUCUUCUCAUUUGUGUAAAAUUGCAGUAGAAAUCUCCCUCCGUGCUCUCCUAUCUCCUGCCAAGUGUCCUCUGCCCUUUUCCCAUGAUCCUUUACCUCUGUGUGACUCAUCAGAUAGAAACCAGCACUUUAUUGCCUUCUCUGCACAUUCAGCAACUUUGCAACAGUGUGAAUUCAGUGCUUAUUACACCUGGAUGGAUUGCAAUUCAAAGAAAUUUAACACAGGUAAUGCAUUUUGGGAAAGUGAUUGUACUGGCCUAAAAAAGUUAAUUGUCUGUCUGUCUAUCUAUCUGUCUGUCUGUCUGUCUCUGUCUGUCUAUCUAUCUAUCCAGCUAUAUAUCCAAAAUUCACUAUUUGUGCUCCACAGAAAACUAUUCCUUUCAACUAUAACAUUAGACCCACUCUGAAAUUGUUCACAAGCUCAUAAGGCCCUUGGGCAAUAUUUGAUGCAUUGAAUAAAAAAAAGUUUGUUCUCA